rnacentral:rRNA from 1 species
AACGAACGCUGGCGGCAGGCUUAACACAUGCAAGUCGAGCGGAGAUGAGGUGCUUGCACCUUAUCUUAGCGGCGGACGGGUGAGUAAUGCUUAGGAAUCUGCCUAUUAGUGGGGGACAACAUUCCGAAAGGAAUGCUAAUACCGCAUACGUCCUACGGGAGAAAGCAGGGGAUCUUCGGACCUUGCGCUAAUAGAUGAGCCUAAGUCGGAUUAGCUAGUUGGUGGGGUAAAGGCCUAACAAGGCGACGAUCUGUAGCGGGUCUGAGAGGAUGAUCCGCCACACUGGGACUGAGACACGGCCCAGACUCCUACGGGAGGCAGCAGUGGGGAAUAUUGGACAAUGGGGGGAACCCUGAUCCAGCCAUGCCGCGUGUGUGAAGAAGGCCUUAUGGUUGUAAAGCACUUUAAGCGAGGAGGAGGCUACUGAGACUAAUACUCUUGGAUAGUGGACGUUACUCGCAGAAUAAGCACCGGCUAACUCUGUGCCAGCAGCCGCAGUAACAC